CAUUGCCUGGCUGGAGGGCUGCUGGGAACAACCUGGAGGCUUCAGUAGGAUGUGUCCUGGAGAUCAGAUCCUGCCUCAGUCAUUAUUAUUCAUUAAGGAUAAAACACUGCUUCAAAGGAAGAGUAAAGAACACUACCACCCUGGAGCAGCUGAGACCCUGGUAGUGAGGACACUCUCCAGAGAAGUGGAAGUGUUAUUCCUUUCUCAUCUUCAGUCUUGAUCUUACAAGUCACCUACCCCAUGAAUAGAUCCAGCCUCCUACCUGCUGGUCAGAGCAUCGAGGCCAGACAAAUGAAACUUACCAGACUUUGUUUCAUCAAGCAUUCCCCAUACACAUGUGUAAACUGAGGUUUAUAACCAGGCUAGAAACUUUCUUUAAAUUAAAAUGUUGAUUCUGCAAAA